rnacentral:rRNA from 1 species
GAUGAACGCUGGCGGCGUGCCUAAUACAUGCAAGUCGAACGAAGAGUUCUCGAGUUUACUCUGGAGCUCUUAGUGGCGGACGGGUGAGUAACGCGUUGGUGACCUGCCCUAAAGAAGGGAACAACCUCGGGAAACUGAGGCUAAUACCCUAUGUGCUUCUUAAGACUAGAUGCUUUUGAAGUAAAGAUUCUGUGGACGAAAGCACACAGAGUCGCUUUAGGAGGGGCCUGCGUCCCAUCAGCUAGUUGGUAGGGUAAUGGCCUACCAAGGCAAUGACGGGUAGGGGACCUGAGAGGGUGACCCCCCACACUAGCACUGAAACACGGGCUAGACACCUACGGGUGGCAGCAGUAGGGAAUCUUGCACAAUCGACGAAAGUCUGAUGCAGCAACGCCGCGUGUGCGAUGAAGGCCUUCGGGUUGUAAAGC